UCCAUUGUCCAAUUUGAAUAGAGAGAGACUUCCGGUGAAAUUCCUCGUUAAUCCUCACCUGUGUCGGUUUGGUCUUUGCCCUCCAUUUUGCUCAAUCGGUGUAACUCUGUUGCAAAAAAUUGCCUCUCGAUUAAUUGUUUUCAAUGCUAGCGGUGAUUUCUAAUCUAAGCCGAGGUCGUGAGAAUCAGACGUUCUCGGGCACGAAAUCAUUUGUCUGCUCGAAUUAAAGAUUGAUGGUCCUCACCUAUCCUGCAGUGAGAAGCACCUCAAAGAUUUCUCACGGCAAGGCAGACCCACUACGAUCGUGGUUCUGCAAGGCCUCUGCGGGUCAUAUGAAUAUUCAGCCCACCCGCACCCUUCAAUGAGAACGUAUUCUGUACGGACUAUUUUGAAUGUUUCUUUGUGAUCCUACCAGAUCCCAUCAUCUUCACUUCCUUCAGCCGAAAGUCCAUGGCUCUUCCUCUUCUUUUUCCCAUCAUGUAGCAGCUGAAAUGGAUGAUAGCAGUUGAAGCAAGGGAUGGCAGUGGAAAUUCAAGUAAUAAGCAAAGAGCAGCAGCCUGCACAAUACACACAAACAGCAACCAUGUGUAGCUUUUCUUUGAAUAUCUGCUGCUGUCCAGAAUUUAUGUUGUGAGUUUCACCUUCCUUUUCUCACAUCUUUCUUCUAUAUCUUGUGUAUUUGAGUGGAUA